rnacentral:rRNA from 1 species
GAUUAAGUUAUUAAGGGCGCACGGUGGAUGCCUUGGCACUAGAAGCCGAUGAAGGACGUUACUAACGACGAUAUGCUUUGGGGAGCUGUAAGUAAGCUUUGAUCCAGAGAUUUCCGAAUGGGGAAACCCAGCAUGAGUUAUGUCAUGUUAUCGAUAUGUGAAUACAUAGCAUAUCAGAAGGCACACCCGGAGAACUGAAACAUCUUAGUACCCGGAGGAAGAGAAAGAAAAUUCGAUUCCCUUAGUAGCGGCGAGCGAAACGGGAAGAGCCCAAACCAACAAGCUUGCUUGUUGGGGUUGUAGGACACUCUAUACGGAGUUACAAAGGACGACAUUAGACGAAUCAUCUGGAAAGAUGAAUCAAAGAAGGUAAUAAUCCUGUAGUCGAAAAUGUUGUCUCUCUUGAGUGGAUCCUGAGUACGACGGAGCACGUGAAAUUCCGUCGGAAUCUGGGAGGACCAUCUCCUAAGGCUAAAUACUCUCUAGUGACCGAUAGUGAACCAGUACCGUGAGGGAAAGGUGAAAAGCACCCCGGAAGGGGAGUGAAAUAGAACCUGAAACCGUGUGCUUACAAGUAGUCAGAGCCCGUUAAUGGGUGAUGGCGUGCCUUUUGUAGAAUGAACCGGCGAGUUACGAUUUGAUGCAAGGUUAAGCAGUAAAUGUGGAGCCGUAGCGAAAGCGAGUCUGAAUAGGGCGUUUAGUAUUUGGUCGUAGACCCGAAACCAGGUGAUCUACCCUUGGUCAGGUUGAAGUUCAGGUAACACUGAAUGGAGGACCGAACCGACUUACGUUGAAAAGUGAGCGGAUGAACUGAGGGUAGCGGAGAAAUUCCAAUCGAACCUGGAGAUAGCUGGUUCUCUCCGAAAUAGCUUUAGGGCUAGCCUCAAGUGAUGAUUAUUGGAGGUAGAGCACUGUUUGGACGAGGGGCCCCUCUCGGGUUACCGAAUUCAGACAAACUCCGAAUGCCAAUUAAUUGAACUUGGGAGUCAGAACAUGGGUGAUAAGGUCCGUGUUCGAAAGGGAAACAGCCCAGACCACCAGCUAAGGUCCCAAAAUAUAUGUUAAGUGGAAAAGGAUGUGGCGUUGCCCAGACAACUAGGAUGUUGGCUUAGAAGCAGCCAUCAUUUAAAGAGUGCGUAAUAGCUCACUAGUCGAGUGACACUGCGCCGAAAAUGUACCGGGGCUAAACAUAUUACCGAAGCUGUGGAUUGUCCUUUGGACAAUGGUAGGAGAGCGUUCUAAGGGCGUUGAAGCAUGAUCGUAAGAACAUGUGGAGCGCUUAGAAGUGAGAAUGCCGGUGUGAGUAGCGAAAGACGGGUGAGAAUCCCGUCCACCGAUUGACUAAGGUUUCCAGAGGAAGGCUCGUCCGCUCUGGGUUAGUCGGGUCCUAAGCUGAGGCCGACAGGCGUAGGCGAUGGAUAACAGGUUGAUAUUCCUGUACCACCUAUAAUCGUUUUAAUCGAUGGGGGGACGCAGUAGGAUAGGCGAAGCGUGCGAUUGGAUUGCACGUCUAAGCAGUAAGGCUGAGUAUUAGGCAAAUCCGGUACUCGUUAAGGCUGAGCUGUGAUGGGGAGAAGACAUUGUGUCUUCGAGUCGUUGAUUUCACACUGCCGAGAAAAGCCUCUAGAUAGAAAAUAGGUGCCCGUACCGCAAACCGACACAGGUAGUCAAGAUGAGAAUUCUAAGGUGAGCGAGCGAACUCUCGUUAAGGAACUCGGCAAAAUGACCCCGUAACUUCGGGAGAAGGGGUGCUCUUUAGGGUUAACGCCCAGAAGAGCCGCAGUGAAUAGGCCCAAGCGACUGUUUAUCAAAAACACAGGUCUCUGCUAAACCGUAAGGUGAUGUAUAGGGGCUGACGCCUGCCCGGUGCUGGAAGGUUAAGAGGAGUGGUUAGCUUCUGCGAAGCUACGAAUCGAAGCCCCAGUAAACGGCGGCCGUAACUAUAACGGUCCUAAGGUAGCGAAAUUCCUUGUCGGGUAAGUUCCGACCCGCACGAAAGGCGUAACGAUUUGGGCACUGUCUCAACGAGAGACUCGGUGAAAUCAUAGUACCUGUGAAGAUGCAGGUUACCCGCGACAGGACGGAAAGACCCCGUGGAGCUUUACUGUAGCCUGAUAUUGAAAUUCGGCACAGCUUGUACAGGAUAGGUAGGAGCCUUUGAAACGUGAGCGCUAGCUUACGUGGAGGCGCUGGUGGGAUACUACCCUAGCUGUGUUGGCUUUCUAACCCGCACCACUUAUCGUGGUGGGAGACAGUGUCAGGCGGGCAGUUUGACUGGGGCGGUCGCCUCCUAAAAGGUAACGGAGGCGCUCAAAGGUUCCCUCAGAAUGGUUGGAAAUCAUUCAUAGAGUGUAAAGGCAUAAGGGAGCUUGACUGCGAGACCUACAAGUCGAGCAGGGUCGAAAGACGGACUUAGUGAUCCGGUGGUUCCGCAUGGAAGGGCCAUCGCUCAACGGAUAAAAGCUACCCCGGGGAUAACAGGCUUAUCUCCCCAAGAGUUCACAUCGACGGGGAGGUUUGGCACCUCGAUGUCGGCUCAUCGCAUCCUGGGGCUGUAGUCGGUCCCAAGGGUUGGGCUGUUCGCCCAUUAAAGCGGUACGCGAGCUGGGUUCAGAACGUCGUGAGACAGUUCGGUCCCUAUCCGUCGUGGGCGUAGGAAAUUUGAGAGGAGCUGUCCUUAGUACGAGAGGACCGGGAUGGACAUACCUCUGGUGUACCAGUUGUCGUGCCAACGGCAUAGCUGGGUAGCUAUGUGUGGACGGGAUAAGUGCUGAAAGCAUCUAAGCAUGAAGCCCCCCUCAAGAUGAGAUUUCCCAACUUCGGUUAUAAGAUCCCUCAAAGAUGAUGAGGUUAAUAGGUUCGAGGUGGAAGCAUGGUGACAUGUGGAGCUGACGAAUACUAAUCGAUCGAAGACUUAAUCAA